CAGGACUGCUGCAUGCAGAACCUCUUCCAAGUGCUGGGAGACACCCUGGUGACUUGCAGAGUCAUUAAAGCAACAAUGCUGGUGGCAGACGCUGAGUGACAUUUUGCAGUGCAAGAUGCAUGAAUGGCGGCUGUGUGGCUGAGAGAAUUAGGCCCAAGAAAAGUGAGCAUCCCUGUGCGUUCUGCUGUGGCUUACACACUCAGCCCGACUUCCAGGAGCUGAACGGCAUUGACCUUUGCACACUGUGAACUUCGAAUGCGCUUGGCUCAAGGUGACACUGGGGGACAGAGUUCUUAUUUGUUUUGAGAGCUUCGAUGUAGGCAGAGAGUAAAAGGGAUACUACAGGCUUGGGGAGAAGACCUGAGUUUGAAUCUCUGUCCUGAGACUUAGGAUGCUCAAAUGUCGGUCGUGUGAUUUGACCUCAGCUGCUUCAACCACACAAAGGGGGCUAACGGUUCUUGUCAGAGGAAUGGCUGAGAAGGAGCAUGAUGGCGGUGUCCCUUGCUUGCCACCUGACUUAAGGUGUGCAGCAACUCUUAGAACUAAAAAAACAAAAACAAAAACAAAA
rnacentral:lncRNA from 1 species